rnacentral:ncRNA from 1 species
GAUUGGAUCUGGACAGGGCCACUGGUCGUCGUCAGCGGAUCAAUCGAGAAGUGCUACUGGUGGGAUAGAGUCUGCAAAAGCACACAAACAGGUGUCGAAGCUAGCGCCUGUGACUCGAAAGGCUGGCGGGG